rnacentral:rRNA from 1 species
UGGGGAAUUUUGCGCAAUGGGCGAAAGCCUGACGCAGCAACGCCGCGUGCGGGAUGAAGGCCUUCGGGUUGUAAACCGCUUUCAGCAGGGAUGAAACUGACAGUACCUGCAGAAGAAGCCCCGGCUAACUACGUGCCAGCAGCCGCGGUAAUACGUAGGGGGCAAGCGUUAUCCGGAUUCAUUGGGCGUAAAGAGCGCGUAGGCGGAUUGUUAAGCGCGAUGUGAAAACUGGGGGCUCAACCCGCAGCCUGCAUCGCGAACUGGCAGUCUUGAGUCUGGUAGAGGAGUGUGGAAUUCCCAGUGUAGCGGUGAAAUGCGCAGAUAUUGGGAGGAACACCAGUGGCGAAGGCGGCACUCUGGGCCACGACUGACGCUGAGGCGCGAAAGCUAGGGGAGCGAACAG